AUGCAGUCGAGGGAGAACCAGUUGAUUCGUAAGAUUCGGCUGGGGAAACCGGCGAACGGGUGCGUAACACGUGAGGAACCUGCCCCGAAGACCGGGAUAGCCCGAGGAAACUCGGAUUAAUACCGGAUACCCUCUUUGGACCACAUGGUCGAUUGAGGAAAUGGUCCGCCGCUUCGGGAUGGCCUCGCGGCCUAUCAGCUUGUUGGUGAGGUAAUGGCUCACCAAGGCCGAGACGGGUAGCUGGUCUGAGAGGACGAUCAGCCACACUGGGACUGAGACACGGCCCAGACUCCUACGGGAGGCAGCAGCAGGGAAUAUUGCACAAUGGGCGAAAGCCUGAUGCAGCGACACCGCGUGCGGGAUGAAGGCCUUCGGGUUGUAAACCGCUUUCAGGAGGGAUGAAAAUGACGGUACCUCCAGAAGAAGGCCCGGCCAACUACGUGCCAGCAGCCGCGGUAAUACG
rnacentral:rRNA from 1 species